rnacentral:rRNA from 1 species
AGCGGACGCUGGCGGCAGGCUUAACACAUGCAAGUCGAGCGGGCAUAGCAAUAUGUCAGCGGCAGACGGGUGAGUAACGCGUGGGAACGUACCUUUUGGUUCGGAACAACUGAGGGAAACUUCAGCUAAUACCGGAUAAGCCCUUACGGGGAAAGAUUUAUCGCCGAAAGAUCGGCCCGCGUCUGAUUAGCUAGUUGGUGAGGUAAUGGCUCACCAAGGCGACGAUCAGUAGCUGGUCUGAGAGGAUGAUCGGCCACAUUGGGACUGAGACACGGCCCAAACUCCUACGGGAGGCAGCAGUGGGGAAUACUGGACAAUGGGCGCAAGCCUGAUCCAGCCAUGCCGCGUGAGUGAUGAAGGCCCUAGGGUUGUAAAGCUCUUUUGUGCGGGAAGAUAAUGACGGUACCGCAAGAAUAAGCCCCGGCUAACUUCGUGCCAGCCGCCGCAGUAA